UACGAAGGGGGCUAGCGUUGCUCGGAAUCACUGGGCGUAAAGCGCACGUAGGCGGCUUUUGUAAGUCAGAGGUGAAAGCCUGGAGCUCAACUCCAGAACUGCCUUUGAAACUACAUCGCUAGAAUCAUGGAGAGGUUAGUGGAAUUCCGAGUGUAGAGGUGAAAUUCGUAGAUAUUCGGAAGAAACACCAGUGGCGAAGGCGACUAACUGGACAUGUAUUGACGCUGAGGUGCGAAAAGCGUGGGGGAGCAAACAGG
rnacentral:rRNA from 1 species